rfam:Acetobacter orientalis 21F-2 DNA, contig: Abor_013.
GGGGCCAUAGCUCAGUUGGGAGAGCGCUUGAAUGGCAUUCAAGAGGUCGUCGGUUCGAUCCCGAUUGGCUCCA